UCGAGGAUCUUCCGCAAUGGGCGCAAGCCUGACGGAGCGACGCCGCGUGGGUGAUGAAGGCCUUCGGGUUGUAAAACCCUGUUAGCUACAGUGAAACGCGGGUGGUGAACAGCCAUCCCGCCUGACGUAAGUAGCAGAGAAAGCACCGGCUAACUACGUGCCAGCAGCCGCGGUAAUACGUAGGGUGCAAACGUUGUUCGGAAUCACUGGGCAUAAAGAGCGCGUAGGCGGUCUGACAAGUCCCCUGUGAAAGCCCCCGGCUUAACCGGGGAACUGCAUGGGAUACUGUUGGGCUAGAGUGCAGGAGGGGAGAGCGGAAUUCCUGGUGGAGCGGUGAAAUGCGUAGAUAUCAGGAGGAACGCCGGCGGCGAAAGCGACUCUCUGGCCUGUAACUGACGCUGAGGCGCGAAAGCUAGGGGAGCAAACGGGAUUAGAUACCCCGGUAGUCCUAGCCCUAAACGAUGGGUACUAAGUAGAGGGAACUCCGAUGUUCUCUCUGCCGGAGCUAAUGUAUUAAGUACCCCGCCUGGGGAGUAUGGUCGCAAGGCUAA
rnacentral:rRNA from 1 species